GCAGCUUGCUGCUUUGCUGACGAGUGGCGGACGGGUGAGUAAUGUCUGGGAAACUGCCCGAUGGAGGGGGAUAACUACUGGAAACGGUAGCUAAUACCGCAUAAUGUCGCAAGACCAAAGAGGGGGACCUUCGGGCCUCUUGCCAUCGGAUGUGCCCAGAUGGGAUUAGCUAGUUGGUGAGGUAACGGCUCACCAAGGCGACGAUCCCUAGCUGGUCUGAGAGGAUGACCAGCCACACUGGAACUGAGACACGGUCCAGACUCCUACGGGAGGCAGCAGUGGGGAAUAUUGCACAAUGGGCGCAAGCCUGAUGCAGCCAUGCCGCGUGUAUGAAGAAGGCCUUCGGGUUGUAAAGUACUUUCAGCGGGGAGGAAGGGGUUAAGGUUAAUAACCUUAGCCAUUGACGUUACCCGCAGAAGAAGCACCGGCUAACUCCGUGCCAGCAGCCGCGGUAAUACGGAGGGUGCAAGCGUUAAUCGGAAUUACUGGGCGUAAAGCGCACGCAGGCGGUCUGUCAAGUCGGAUGUGAAAUCCCCGGGCUCAACCUGGGAACUGCAUUCGAAACUGGCAGGCUUGAGUCUCGUAGAGGGGGGUAGAAUUCCAGGUGUAGCGGUGAAAUGCGUAGAGAUCUGGAGGAAUACCGGUGGCGAAGGCGGCCCCCUGGACGAAGACUGACGCUCAGGUGCGAAAGCGUGGGGAGCAAACAGGAUUAGAUACCCUGGUAGUCCACGCCGUAAACGAUGUCUAUUUGGAGGUUGUGCCCUUGAGGUGUGGCUUCCGGAGCUAACGCGUUAAAUAGACCGCCUGGGGAGUACGGCCGCAAGGUUAAAACUCAAAUGAAUUGACGGGGGCCCGCACAAGCGGUGGAGCAUGUGGUUUAAUUCGAUGCAACGCGAAGAACCUUACCUGGUCUUGACAUCCACAGAACUUGGCAGAGAUGCCUUGGUGCCUUCGGGAACUGUGAGACAGGUGCUGCAUGGCUGUCGUCAGCUCGUGUUGUGAAAUGUUGGGUUAAGUCCCGCAACGAGCGCAACCCUUAUCCUUUGUUGCCAGCGGUCCGGCCGGGAACUCAAAGGAGACUGCCAGUGAUAAACUGG
rnacentral:rRNA from 1 species